UUUGAAUCAAAUGCUCACCCCUACUGCCUAGACUAAAAUGGUUAGAACUUGAAAACCUAAUUCAGCUGCCACCAAUAUCAACUUCAUAUUCACCAGCAACGCUUGAUUGGCCUUACAAAUGAAACUGGUGGGCAGCUUGGAAAAACAACAUGCAGAGUAGAUCAUCAACAUCAGAAGGAUAGCAUAAACACCCCAGUAAACAAAAAACCUCGCUCGCCUGCUCAUCACUUGCAAAGCCAGAGGAAAUCGAGGGAUAUGCAGCAAAAUGCCAUAGGAAAGCAUGGGACUCGAGCCAUCGCCGAAUGAAUUUGGGAAACGGCUUGGCAAAAGAGAUUAGAUCUGAA
rnacentral:misc_RNA from 1 species